rnacentral:rRNA from 1 species
CGCGAUGGAUGCCGAAAUAGCCGACCAACCUUGAUACAUUUAUAGGAAGUAAAGGUCGUAACAAGGUUUCCGUAGGUGAACCUGCGGAAGGAUCAUUA